CCGUAGGGUAGGCGACAAUAUUGCUUAGCUUCUGUUAAGGCUUCUGUUAUACUUAAC
rnacentral:antisense_RNA from 1 species